GCUGACACUGUUACUGUGUGUGUUCCCGUCAUCCCACGAGGUGGACACGGUUAUCACCACAUUUUUCUGACAUGAAACUUGGAGAGGAGAGGGUUUAGGAAACUCCUGAAGCCACAUUGUCAGCGGGACCCGGGUGGUCUGGCCUUAGAUCCUGCACUGUUUGCCCCUCGCCACGCUGUCAGCAGACCCGGGUGGUCUGGCCUUAGAACUCACGCUGAUCGCCCCUCCCUGCCACGUUGUGGGGUUUUUCCUGCUUCUGGGCAGCAUUUGAUAGCUUGUGAAACAAGACCAAGACUUGCUAUGAGUGGAUAUGCCAUUAUCUGAGAUCCAGAACUUUCCUGGACCUGGCAUUGCCGACGUCACGUAAGGGGAGGUAAAAACAUUUUCUUUGUGGUCAUUGGGGCUCCUGAAAUGGUGUUUUUCCCAGUGAAAAUUGACUCAUAAAAAUCUGUUAACUCAAUACUAUGUGAACAGGAAGAGGUGUGUUGGGCUCUAGUUAAAUGUCUCAGAGCCACAGAAGUAAAUGAGGGCACCUUCCAAGCACAGCCUCCCGGAGGGGAGGCCAAGGACGUUUGCCUGGAGGGUUUGCCAUGAAGCAGGACUCGGGCAGGGCUGGUCUGUCUGGAAAGGCCUCUGCCAUGAUGUAAGUUAGUUGAAGUAGUUGAGGGGUGGUGGCGUGAGGUCGGUGGUCCCCAAGGAAGCCCCUAGCAAGGCCGGUUUCCGUGGGAUGGAAAACUGCCGUUCAGUGGCUGUACUCCUGGCUUCACUGGUCUGAUGUACAAUCCUGCACUUGGGUACUUGGAUCCCAGCCAGGUCAGAUGGUUGUAUCUUGGAGCAGCGUUUGUGUCAGUAGAGAGCAGAGUGGUGGUUCCCAGAGGCUGGGAAAGGACAGAGGUGAGGCCCCUGAAGGAUGCUGGUCUUCCUGGUUUAGGGGUUUGGGGCUCAGCCACCUUCCUGUGUCCGUGUAAAUAAUACCCAGGAUCAUUUUCGCUUGCCCCACUUUAGUGAAGCAUUGGAGCUUCAGGAUGUGCGUGCCCACGUCACCUGGGCCGUGAUCCUGGAGUUGGGUGAGACUGAUUCCCCGGGUUUAUAGAAUUACUCUGGGAUUAUUAAAAACAGAAGCACUUGAGGCAUUCAUAAUGCUAUUUCCUGAACAUAAUUUAUGUUCAGUUCUUCAGAAACAUUUCUCUGAGGAAGCAUCUAUAAUUUUUGUUUUCUGCCACUCAGUGCUAGAAAGAAUUGUGCAACACUCAAGUGAGUGGCAUUAUUCCCCUCCCUCCACCAUGCAAGCAAGAUUAAAGGUACCUCUGGCCCCCCUCAGUCUUCUCACCUGCAGGGCGCCUGGCGUGGCAGUGUGCUGCCUUCCGUCUUCUUUUUGGGGAGAAUUAGUCAUGUUUGUGUGUACUGCUCAGCUCAGCCUGGUGCGGUUGUGUGGGUGAGGAGCUUGGUUGCUAGGUGACCCUCCCAGGCCUGCCUCCCACCUCCCUAGGCCUUGUUCUAAACUGACAGAUAACCAGUGUGUUUUGGAAGAAGACAGCAGCAGGGCAGGAGAAAGUUUAUUCAGACUUUCUCCUUGCCCUGGUUUUGAGCCCUCAUCCAGCCUGGGCCCUUCUACGGAGCUGCCUUUGUGUGUUGCAAACCACUCCCUCCCAAUAACCGUGCUUUCAGAGGUUUGGAAAUGUGAAUUAACUCAUCUUCAAUUUAAAGCGUACUAUUAAAUUUUCAUGUUGAAACUGAUGUAUUUUAUGGCCUUUAUUAGAUUUCUCUUGAUUUUUUUUCCCCAUAUGAGACAUUGCAUCUUAAGGGAGACAGGCUGGUGUUGGCCCCCUUUCCUAAGGAUGGAAGUGAAUUCUGAAAGCCCUUUAUGUAGGCAGCGAAAUAAUCAGGGAACCGUUAUUAUAGCUAUGCCUGUCCAUGUAAAGCGAGCACGACUCAUAAGCAGGAAAAAGUGCAGCCCGGGGGCAAGGUGAGCCCUAAUGCUGCCUGUGCCUCGCCUCCCUGCCAUGAGGAACGGAAGUGCAAGCGCAGGUGGUUGAGUCAGCCUCCAAGCCCAGCCUGCGCCCCCCUCACAUCCCUCUGCAUCUGCAGGGGCACAGGCCAUGCUGCCACCCCUCGCUCAGUGCCAGGGCUGAUGCAUCAGGAACGGGGGUGCUGUCCGCCCCUUGCUCGGUGCCAGGGAUGAUCUGUCAGGAUCCCUUGUGCUCAUCUGGUCCUCACGUCUUCAUCACCAGCCUCCUGCUGGUAACGGGCUUGUUAUUACCUUGGUAUGUGUUGUGGGGCAGUGCUCAGUCCUCCGAGGGAGGGAAUCGGCCCUUAGCCAAUUCACAUUCAACAGGACCGGGGAAUGGGUUCUUGUUCCAUGUCCUGGAUCCCAAGAAGCCCUUGUCCUGGACCCUGUAAUGCCCGGGGUCUUCCUGAGAAACGCUGGUGCCACUGGAGCACAGCCCGGCCCCCUCCAGUUUCUCUGCUUUGUAACUGCACUUGUGUUUAGCAGGUCUUCCAGGACUUAGACGCUGCUUGGUGUGAGCCAGGUUUUGUGUGGAAAGAGGACAGGUCCGAGUCGACAACCAACCAGCCCAGAACCAUCUUUUAUGCUUCCAGAUUCUGUGGCCAAAAACUUACCCGUGGACAUUGAGGGUGAUGCAUUUCUGCUCCAAGACGUCUGUGGACUCAGCUGGAGGGAUGGAAAGGAUGUGGAGCCUCUUCAGUCCUGGCCUGGCCUUGGACCUGCUGUGCAGCCUCUCAGUGGCACCAGGGCCCCCUUGUGUCACAGCAGUCUCGGGUUCGUGGCACUGCCUCAGGAUGUCCCAGGCUUCAUGAUGUCCAGGCUCCCCUGGCAUGGCGACCUCAGAUUUCUUUGUAUCUUCUCCCUUAUCCAGAAGUGAGUGUGAACGCUGAGUUAUUCACGGGAGUCAAGAAACCACACGCAGCCCAAAGUGACAUUUGUUUCCCUGAAAUGAUUUGUGUGUGUUCACCUUAAAAUGCAACUCAGUAAAACAGGUGUGUUUUGAGAAAUAACUUUAAAUUACCCAGGUAAAAAUGUGA